GUACCGAGGGCGAUCCUGAAAGCACUAUGAAGGAACUGGGAGCGCUUUUACUGGGAGCACUGGGAGGGAGCGGCACUCAAACGCAGUUACAGCUGGCGCUGGGCGUGGCCAAGACAAAGGGCGUGGCCAUGCAGACAUAAGGAAUGUGGCGCACGGUGAUUGGCUGGCGGUGUGCAGGACCCCUAGCAGUUGCAUGUAAUUGGGGCCUUUGUUACUGAAAUGUUUCGUUUCAUCUGAGCUUUGGAAUCCUGCGAGCAGGACUAUGCAAACGAAAUUCUGUCCUCUGACACUCAACACCAGAAGCAGCCACGGGAACAUCCUGAGGGACACAGCAACACCCUGCAGGACAUGGCCUCAUGACCUCUGGGACUUGGGCCCUGCCCACAAUGCCACCAGGACACACAUCAGAAGACAAUGUUGCCACACCUGUGGGGACACUGCCACCAGGAUGCUUCUGGUGACACCUAGCGUGCGGCCAUGUGACCCCCCCCCCCCCAGGUGACCCUAUGUCCUCUGUAAUUUUGUUAAUUGCUCCCAAAUCUUUUACUAAUUGAUAACUUUUGCCAUCUGCUUUUUCAACAGCUAAGAUGGCAGUGUUGUAUUUGAAUUCACAUUGCACUAGUAACCCAUGUUGAAGUUUUUCAAGUACAGAAAUCCUUAUGGUUUUCUAAUUUCAAAGGGUAUUGGUUUUGCCUUAUUGAUGUGGCUCCUGGUCUGAGUGCAGUAUUCACGGGUUCUGCUUGUUUGGAUCUUCCUGGGAUAUCAGUGGCCCACCCUAUUGGACUUACUGCAUUCUCAACUUCUCAAAGUGGGAAUUUCACCACAUUUUUCCUGCAUAAAAAGUGCAGCACUUGGAUAAAUUUAGAUUCAGGAAUUACAACUCUUACACCCUUUUCAUUUUAAAAUUUAAUUUCUGUAUCGGUUUCUCGAGGUCAGGAUUGAAGGCACUUGAGACAGCAUUCCACAUUCCGACUCAGGAGUUUAUUAUUUCUCAUCAGUGAAACAGUCUCACAACCAUGAGUUUGGCAGCUUUUCAUUAGCAAGGUACAAAAUGGCUAACAAACUCUUGUUACAAGGUGUUUUAAAACUAAACUAUCCAAUUAAAAAACUUGUCAUUUUCCCUUUUAACCCAAUAACUGAUCCCCCAAAGCCCGCAAUGUGGACCUUUCUGUCCAAUCACAAAAUAUCACCCAAACCUAUGAAGAAGAAGGAAGAAGGUAAAGAAGAAAGACCUGUCUCCACCCUAAAAUCUCCAUCUUGCUUCAUAUUUAUUUCUAUAUUCUAAAACCCCAAACUCUUAAGUUUUCCACCCUGUGAUAUUACACACUUCUAACCAACUACAUACCCAGUAAUCCCAGUACUAUCAAUCAAUUUUUAGUCUUCUCCACAGCCUCAGGUCAAAUGCAGUGUUCUCUUGUGGGUUUAUCCCUUUCAGCACAGAAAGUCUAAAAUUCUCAGCAUCCAGGAUUCCAAGAUUUCUGCUUCCAAUUUUUCUAAUAAAUCCCUCCCCAGCAAUGCAUUAGGGGAGUUAGGCAUAUAGGUGAAUUGACGGGUAACCCAGUGCUUUCCCAGUUUAAAUUUUAAAGGUUGUAAAAAGGCCAUGUUUCUUUUACCCCGGUUGCCCCAACAACAUGUGCAGUAUUGUGACUUGGCUUCCCUUCUAAGGUAUUUAACACAGAACAUGCCUCUUCAGUAUCUACUAAAAAUUCAAUGUCAUCUUUAUCCAGCUUAGCUAUAACUGAAGGCUCCACUGAGGGUCUAACCUUCGGUCCACAUCACUUCGAACUUGACCUGCUAGAACUUUGUACUACUGGGAGCUGGGGAACUGGGGACUUUUCUUUCAAUGCUGGAAAGUCAUUCUUCCAAUGUCCCCAUUUUUUACAAUAAACUGAUCUUUCUCCA